rnacentral:rRNA from 1 species
AACGAACGCUGGCGGCAGGCUUAACACAUGCAAGUCGAACGCAUCGCAAGAUGAGUGGCAGACGGGUGAGGAACACGUGGGAACAUCCCUUUCAGUUCGGAAUAACUCAGGGAAACUUGAGCUAAUACCGGAUACGUCCGUGAGGAGAAAGAUUUAUCGCUGAAAGAUUGGCCCGCGUCUGAUUAGCUAGUUGGUGAGGUAAUGGCUCACCAAGGCUACGAUCAGUAGCUGAUCUGAGAGGAUGAUCAGCCACAUUGGGACUGAGACACGGCCCAAACUCCUACGGGAGGCAGCAGUGGGGAAUAUUGGACAAUGGGCGCAAGCUUGAUCCAGCCAUGCCGCGUGAGUGAUGAAGGCCUUCGGGUUGUAAAGCUCUUUUGUCCGGGAAGAUAAUGACUGUACCGGAAGAAUAAGCCCCGGCAAACUUCGUGCCAGCCGCCGCGGUAA